UACGGAGGGCGCGAGCGUUAAUCGGAAUUACUGGGCGUAAAGCGCGCGUAGGCUGUUGUGUAAGUUGGGGGUGAAAUCCCACGGCUCAACCGUGGAACGGCCCUUGAUACUGCGCGACUUGAAUCCGGGAGAGGGUGGCGGAAUUCCAGGUGUAGGAGUGAAAUCCGUAGAUAUCUGGAGGAACAUCAGUGGCGAAGGCGGCCACCUGGACCGGUAUUGACGCUGAGGCGCGAAAGCGUGGGGAGCAAACAGG
rnacentral:rRNA from 1 species